AGCUAGGAUUACAGGCGUGAGGCACCGCGCCCGGCCUGUAUUCUUAUUUGAACAAAAUAAAAGACAUUUUUGAAACAAUUGGAGAAAAGUUUAAGAUGGACUGGGUAUGAGAUGAUAUUAAGGAAUUAUUAAUUUUGUUGGGUGAAAUAAUGGUAUAGUGACUAUUUUUUAAAAGCUCUUAUCAGAGAUACAUACUGAAGUAUUGGUGGUUGAAAUCAGAACUGGGAUUUACCUGAAAAUACUACAGAGGAAAAAAGGCAAUGGGCAGGUACUAGAUAAAAUGAGCAGAAUGUUAUGUUGAUGCUAGGUUAUAGACAUAUUGGGGCUUAUGUAGGCUUUAUUCUAUUUCCUCUGCUGUUAUGCAUGUAUAAGGAUUACUGUAAUAGAAAUUUAAAUAAGUGAAUAAGAAGAGAGAGAUUGGGGAAUGCCAUUAUAGACAACUUUUUCUAGGCAUAAAGAAAAAGCAAAAAGUAGAUAGUAGCUGGAGGGAUACAUAUAUCCUGCAGAAAGGGGGAAAGUGUGGCACAGGAGAGCACAGUUGGGGUGAUGUAUUAAAGGUGAAGGGCAAAUGGGAGCUCUCAUAUACUAUUGGUAGAUUAUACUAGGUACAACCCCUUUGACAAGUCAUUAGCAAUGCUGUAUAUGGCAAAAUUUUAAGUGCUCCACGAUUUUGUUUCCAAGUUUCUAUCUCACACACACACCAGCACCAAUAUGCAAAGACACCUAUAAAAUGUUCAUUGUGACAUUGUAAUAUUGAGAGUCUGCAAUCGAACAUAUGACUAAUUAAAUUAUGCUACAUUCAUACACUGGAGUAUUUCCAAAAUAUUUUUAAUGAAAAGCCAAAAUGCAGAAUAUUCAUGUAUAGAUACACACACAUAAAUAUAUACAUGCAUACAGAAUAGUGUGUGAAGUUAUGUAAAGAUGUAGUUACACACACAUGUAUAGACAUUUCGGGGAGGAUAAAUACAUGAUUUUGUUAACAAUGGUUAUCUUUGGAAAGGGGGAGUUCUUUCUGUUGUACAUGCUUUUUUAAACUUUGGAUUCUUUUGCAUUCAUUGCUUUAAUAAAAACCAUAUAAAAUAUGGAAAAGCUCUUGGUUAGUAUGAAAUAAGUAAGAAAAUAACUAAAGGGUCUUACUGGCUGUGCUGUUGUCUGUGUGUGGAUGUGCAGAUCUGGAUUAGGGGAAGAGGGACAGAUGUUCAAUGUGUGGAAAAGGCUAUAAGCCUCAGUAAGUUAACUAUUAGAAAUUGAGCUAUAAAGAUAGAACUGGUCUGUCCCAGUUUUUCCUAAGAAACAGUCCCAACACAAAACUGCCCUUUUUAUUUUUCCUUUUGCUUAAACUCACUGAAAGGGGCGCCUGAAUUAGAAUGUGUACUUCUGUAUAUCUAUUAAGCCCUACUUCUCUUUCUCUCUCCUCCAUCCAUGCACUACCAUAUCCCUCCUACUGUUUUCUCUAAAAAUUCUCCUUAAAAAAAUUUUUUUCAAAUGUUGUAUUAAGUUAGAACUAGUUAGAAUUUGUUUGCCUGUUUUCUGGCAGUAGCCUGGCUUUAGGAUCACUUAGAUUAGCUCCCAGAUUUAAAUUUUAGAAACAUUCUUAUCAAGGAGUUUUCUAAGUGACACGGGGUAAGGCAUUUUAUUUUACCAUAUACUUCAAUCCUUUAAAAAGUUUCUAUAUAUUCACUUAAGGCUUAAAAGUUUUCCAUGAAGCCUAUUAAUUAUUUGAAAAUGUAGAAUAACCCUAGCCUACUUUUUAAUUAAAAUACUGUACUCAUUUGAGGGAAGGGUCAUCUGACUGACAGAUGUAGGACUGAUUUGCUAUCCUGUGUGAUUCUGGACACUUGUCAUGGGGACAGGCAUGGAAAGCUGAAUGACUAGUCUAUUUCCUCCUUAGUAGAAUUAGACAUAUUAAUUACAAUGACCAGGAUAGGGGAUAUGUACAUUGUUGUUAUGUUCAUUAUAAGCUGUUUGAUAGUUUUUUGCCUCUGAAUGUUUUUAUAGUUGGAAGUUACAGCAAUGGAAACAGCUAAAUGUUGAGAUCAGAUUGCCAGACAUGAACAACUAGUAUUACACUUCCUGUGCCAACCAGCUUACUGUAUUUCUGUUGGGACUUACAAAAGGCCCAAAAGAUCUUUAACAUAUAUCUGUUCAAGACUUAAAAAUGCUGUUUUCCAUGGGAUGGGAGGGUGUUUGGAUAAAACCCAAACUGUGUUUUCCCUCUGUUGUCAUACCAACACAAUUAUGAUCAACACAAAAAACUUCUGUGACCCCAAAAUAUGUGGGGAUUUUUCCCCACCAGCAAGCAAGCAAGCAAUUCUGCAGCAGACACCAAAUGAGUGUCCUCCAAUUCAAUUCUGAUACUACCUGGAGAUAGCAUCAGGUGAGUGAGGGCUCAGUCCCUGAGACUGCCCCCGACUUCAGAUACCAGUCGCACAUCAGGCCUCCGGAACUGCUGACUGACGGGCUUCAAACUGGGGUUCCCAAGACUCUCUCUUUGGGUUUGAUUAAUUUGCUGGAGCAGUUCACAGGACUCAGGGAAACACAUUUACUGGUUUACUAUAAAGGAUAUUACAAAGAAUACAGAUGGAGAGAGGUGUAGGGCAAGGUAUGGAGGAAGAGCACAGAGCUUCCAUGCCCUACCCAGGGCGCCAUCCUCCACGAACCUCCCUGUGUUCAGCUAUCUGGAAGCUCUCUGAACCCUGUCCUUUGGCCUUUUAUGGAGACUUCAUUACAUAGGCAUGAUUAAACCAUUGGCCAUUCAUGAUCAGCUCAACCUUUAGACCCUCUCCCCUCCCUGGAGGUUGGGAGGUGGGGCUGAAAGUCCCAACCCUCUAAUCCUGCCUUUGUCCAGUGGCCAGCCCCAUCCGGACACUAUCAGUCAAUCAUCGGCACACAAAAUGACAUCACUUGGGAGAUUCCAAGGAUUUUGAGUUGCGUGCCAGGAAAUAGGGUCAAAGAACAAAUAUAUAUUUCACAAUAUCACAGACAGGCACCAGGUAGGGGAUAUAGAGAGUAAAAGAUGGCAGAGGAGGGAGGCCCAACAUUAAGGAUGAUACCACGAAAGGGCUUGAUUCUGGUGCUGACCUGCAGAAGACCACUGAGGGACAGCUGCCCUGUCUCAGCGUGCCCCCCUUCCAAAUCAAAGAGUUUUCAGUGAUGAUCUGAAAGGAGUGGAGCAUCUCCUCUGUGUGGUGGAAUGACCUCUCAGCUUCACUUGGCCAGCCCCAAAGAUGCCCGAAGCUGACACAUCUUCUUUGGCAGCCCAAGACAGAACACCACGCCCUCAAGUGCAGUCUGUUUCAGCAAACAUCUGAGCAUGAGACGUGGACUGUGCCAACUCUCAGAGCAGCAAGGCUCCAUCUCCAGCGUGCCAGAGUCAUCAAGGCUGCGUGGUAUAAUACAAAUGCAGGUAGAGGCACUACCUCCAAGAGAUUCUGAUUCUGCAUAUCUGUGGGUGGGGCCCGGGAAUCUGCAUUUUAACAAGCACCGCCCCACCCAACACAUCUGACAGGAGUGUGAAAUUUUUUUGUUCUGUUGUUUAUCAGGCAGUUCAUUCAGUUGAACUCACCCUACAAAUGCUAUCUCUUGGCAGCAGCUGAAAUCCCAGUUUAAUUAUUUUAUUCUUAGUUGGGAAUCUGCCCCAUACAGGCAGAAAUUGGGGCAGAGCUUAUAUACAGACUUUGGGCCUCCCCUCUCUGGCUCUCUCCUUUCCAGGACUCCCCCUUCAUUUUGUGGAGGCUGUAGUUGCCCUGAACUCUGGUUGAGCUGAUCGCGAAUGGCCAAUGGUUUAAUCAUGCCUAUGUAACGUAGUUGCUCUCUGGUUCUUGAAGCCAGAAGCACUGCUGGUUUUCUAGCAGAGUUCUCUCCUCCCUACCUCAGACAGAGUUGCAGCUUCCCUCAGGCUAAAAGCCGCAAUCUGUUCCUUAUUCCAGGUGUCCACUCCCUUCCUGAAUCUGUUUGCUUGUGAUCGUUCUCUAUUGGCUUCAGGUUGUUGUUUCUUAAUAUUCUGCACUUUAAAGUUAGUGGCAGGUGGGUUGGUCCCCAGUAGGGCCUUACUCUGCUAUACGGGAAACGGAACUACUGGAUCAGACUUUGAGAAUCUUUCUUCGCUAGUGUCCCUUGAGACUCGGCUAGACGGAGGCUUUGCCAUGCUGAAAGAAUGCUUGCAUCCUCUUUCUGUACUUCACCCCCCAUCGCCUGCUAGGACCAUAUCUAGCAAUCUGUAGACAUUUCGCUUUAGAAACGUAAAUGAGAACCAGCCAAUGCAGGACGAGUGGUAUGAUAUUUGCACUACCUUUAAAGAAUGACGCCCCAAAAAAAAAAAAAAAAAGAAUGACGCCCCAAACUUAGCUGAAAUGUAAAUACAGUUGGCACUCAACAACUUGUCUGGAAACCACCGUUUUGGUCUCAUCUCUAAAACAGCUUCCCUGUAAGUCCUUCUAUCUUUGGCUUUUGCUGGCCUCACAGGCCUCGCUUACCCUGCCCACCAGGGGCUCCAGAAGCUUGCAACAUUUUACCAUUCCAGCGUUCCUGAGACCUCUGUCCUCUCCAGGAUUGUGUCACUCAUGCUUGUGGUUGCAGCCACGCUGGUUUAUUGUCAUCUAAUAGGCCUACUGCUGUAAAUUUUUACUGUGCCAACAAAAAAAGCAAAAUGCUUACAUUCUCGAAUUUCUAAUCUAAUUCUCUUAAAUUGGGAAAAUUAGCAGGGUUCUAACAACUUCAGAUUGUCAGGUACCCCAAUAAUCUGCAUCACUCAAAACCCCAGGGCACCAACUACAAGAUAAGAUUGAUGAAAGAGUCUGGAAGUCAGCAACAAUCUUGAGUGAUGGAUGUUUUUAAGCUUCCACACUGCUGAUGAAAGCUAUUCGCGGUUCGCUAAAACUAGCCCAUAAAUAACCCUGAGAGGUGAUGCUCCCCAUACAUUUCCUCCCUGCCCCCGCCCUCAAUGCUGAGAGAAGGCAUUUGAAAAUAAUGAGGUAACACUAACAAGGGGUUUAUUUACCACCAGAGACUGAGGAAGUAGGAUGUGGAAUUCUGAGAAUCACUGUCUUGUGACCUGUAAAUUGCUGCUCUGGCAUCUGCCUCUCAUUGUUUAUUAAUCUUUGACCUGUGGGUACUGGCGCCAACCAUUAAGCAAGCCAGGUGUUAACACGGGUACCUCUUGAGCAAGCUCUGCUAUCGGAGAGCAUCUAGAACUAAGGAAGAAAGAAUGAGGGCUGAGCGCCCAAAAUGGACAGCACCGAGCCUGGCAUGUACGCUGCAGACAGAGCUCCCAAGAAAUCCAUUCCUGUGGAAAAGCAGCAGUUCCCUUCCCUGACGAUGACUGGGGCUAAAGGGCGUGCAACAGCAGCGACCUCAUGAUGAGGGUGGCAGAGCAUAUGCAAUUGGGAGCCUGGCAUGGGAAUGGAAAGAAGGUUGUCUCAGGUGACUGGAGUGCAAUGACAUUCUGUAGAUGACAACAGGGAAAGCACUGUGCUCUUAUCAAAGGUGUCACAAAUCUCUUAUUUCAUCCUUACUAUCUGUUCUGUGUACAUCAUAAGACUUUGGAUUUUGUCAUAAAGGUAAUAUGCAUUUUGGGGGACAGUGAGGGAAGGAUAUCUCCAAAAACCAUGUCCCUUUCACCAAAGAGGAAAAUGAAGCCCAGAGAGGUUAAGUGACUUGCCUAAGAACACACAGCUAAUGAGUGGUCAGUCAGGACAGUGGAAUCAAAAUAGUCUUACUCCCUUUAGAGUUCUUUUCAUUUGGAUUUCUUUCUUCAUAGUGUUGCCAAAUAUUAUUAUAAAUAAUGGUGUAGGGUUGGCCUGCCAUGUGUUAGAAUGGGCAGACUCUUUGCAGAAAAUUACAGGCAUGACAAAGGUAGAUAAUUUGAUUGUCCAGCCAAGUUUUUAUUACAAUGUCACAAAGCUGCCAGUGCCUUAGCAAGACAGAAUUAAGUAUGUUCAGAAGGAUUACAAGUUGUUCUAUGAUAGAAGGUGCUCAAAUAAAUGUUUUAACUGAUAGGGCAGCACUGUAUUCCAUGCUACAGAGACUCUAGUAAAGAAACUGAAUAUGGUGUAGAUGCCUUUCUACUGGGUCAUAGCUAUUUGGGCGCCUAUUUCUGCCUAGGGUUCCUUUGUGUACUUUUGUCAACUACACUGCAAGGUAAACAUAUUGCAUUGUUGCAGAUGGAGGUUGCAUCUGGCCUGGGAGAUCAGGAAAGUUGAAACAUGAGGUGGCAUUUCAACUGAAAUAUUAAGAAUUUGGUGAUUGAAUUCUGUUCAAUUAAGAUUUAUGGAACACUUAUUGCACAGUUUGAACUUCGCAACAUUGUUUCAUUUAAUCCUUCUAACAACUCAAUGGGAAAGGUGCACUUACUUCACAGACGAAGAGCAAGGACCAGCUCGGCUGACCUUUCUCCUGAGGACUGACUGCUCUUAGCUGAUGGGCGCAGCCUUGCCUGAGGGGUAACCUGGAAGGCAAAGGCAAGGAAACCUCGGAUGACCAAGAGAUAGAAAAUAUGAAAAACUGCUGAAGAGAGAUGUCAGUGUUGGAUUUCCCGGAUCUAUCUUCCACCUAAUAGACAUUCCAGGAAGAGAGACUUCAAAAUUUUUCAUUUUAAUGAGGGAUAGGAAAUAAACCAUUUUAAAAAGUGAAUUUCCUUGAGGUGCCCUCAGGUAGUGAAUAGCAAUAGGAGGAAAAAGGUCACACAGAGAUGUCACUUAGUGAAGUUUCAAACUCUUAUGAACACCAAGGAACCUUGGCUAAAGCUAAAGAGAAAAUUCUACAAAUUUCCAGAGGGAGACAAAGUUUCAAUAAUUAGACUGGCACCUGACUGCUCAUCUUCCAAAUGGGAACUAUCUACAAAGUUCUAAAUUUUUCUGAAGGAAAAUGAUUUUGGCCCUGGAAUUCUAUAUUCCCUUUAUUGUCCCUUACUUAAGAGUGAGAGCAAAAUAACAAUGUUCUUGGACAUGCAAAGACCCGGACAAGAUGGCAUGCAUGAUUUGCAGGGCUCAAUGCAAAAUGAAAAUGAGUCCCUUGUUCAAAAAGUAUUAAGAAUUUCAAGACAGCAACUGCAGAGCACUAAAAUAAGUGUGGGGACCCUCUGAAUGCAGGGUCCUGGGCACUGCAUCAGUCACACGCUCAGGUGGCCGAGGAAGCUCACCGUCCAUGAACUCUUCCUGAAAAAGAGAAAAACUCAUUCAAAAAAGAGAUGGGCACAAAAUAAAUAAGAAAACAAACAUAAAACUCCCAUCUCAGUAAAACUUAUAAAAAAUUACUGUCUAAAGUAUACUUUUUGAUGAAGCUUAAAGUAGUGAUUUUAGAAUACUAUUAUUAAGAAUAGAGGAAACAUUGUUUUAAAAUGAUAUAUUAAAAUUCCAUACAUUAAAAUUUGAUAAUUUUGACAACAUAGUGAGAGGAAAGAGAAACAUAAAAAGCAUACUUAAUGACUUGUUAGGCUCCGGGGAUGCUUUAGACACUAAUUAAUUAGAACAAAAUAUAUAUUAAAGAUUGAUUUUACAUAUUUAAAGGUAAGCACAAUAUUUAAAGGUUAGUGACUUAAGUCAACGCAUGUUUGUUACUUCGUGGUUUCGCAGACCAAGAAUCCGGGCGUGGCUGAGCCCGCCGUCUGCCUCCGGGUCUUUGCACGGCUGCAGUGUAGGUGGCGGCCGUGCUGGGGUUGCUCACCGUGUGAGGAAGGACUCGCUCUCCACACUCAGUGGUUGUUGCUGGGAUCCUGUGUCCCAACUGAGCGCCUCGGUUCCUAGCUGGCUGCCAGCUGAAGCCCGCCUUCAGCCUGUUGCCAUGUGAAUCUCUCCAACCAACACGGUCGGUCACUUGGUUGUCUUACAUAACGUGACCACAGUGGCGUGGCAUCCGUGGCCUGUGCUGGGCUCUAAGCGUCAGAAGGGAGUCACAGGGCCCAUCCACACUCAAGUGGAGGGGAAGGCCAGGCUGUGGGCGCCAGGAGCAGGGCUGCUAGCUCGCCACUCACUGUUCACGCCAGGGCCCGGCAGACAUCGGAGACACGGUUGCACUCCUGGGUGUAUAAAGCCUCACCUGCUCGCCAGAGUUGGCCGUGUCUUGCCCAUGAUCGGCUCAAGUGCACUCAUAUACAAUCUGUCACUAUUUGUGGAAUGAACAUGUCAGCGGCUGCAAACAAAAGCAGUUCUGCAAAACAGAGUUUGGCACGUUAACAGGUUGCUUUUAAUUUGCAUUUAAAAUGGAUUUGGCAGUUCUGCAUAUUAAAAGGUCAAAGUGUCGUGCUGUGAAAGAGAAAACAAGAGCUUAAACAUUCCAGAACAAAAUAUUCCACAGGAUGCCCUUGUGUUUGCCUUUGCAUCUGGACCGUUGUCAUAGUCCUGCCACCGCAGCCAUUUACAUCCGAAUCACAUUUCUCUCUUGAGGAGUAAAUAUAGUUCAGUACUUCCUUCAAAUGUCCUUCACUCAAGGAGAAAAACACAUCUGGGGUACAUAUUUCCACAACCAUACUGGCCUAAAUUUCAAAAUCUGUGUGCAAAUGAGUGGUGACUGCAUUGUGUUGACCCCCUUGGUUAGUGUCCUUAAGAUGGCAUUAUUGAGAACUGACCCUGUUACUGCUACUGUUUUUUCUUGGCAUGAGACCCAGGCCACUGCUCAUUCUGAGAAGCCCUGGCUGAGAGUCAGGAAGUCUGGGUUCUUGUCCCGGCUUUAGAUGAGCUGGGUGGCCUUGGCCAGUCACCCUCCCCGUCUGCACUAGUUUCUUAUCUGGGGAAUGGUGGGUUUGGAUGGAUAACAAUUCAGGGAUCUAUCCCUCUGCAGUGAGAUUCCAGGGACCACGACUGGGCUGGUGCAACCACCCGCACCUGUGGGGAAGGUGGCCCCGAGUGGCUCACAGCUGCCCCCUCUGGAGGAUUGCGCUCGGCCACACAGGAGCUUCCUUGCCUGGGAGAUCAGGCUCCUGUGCCUGAUGUCUGACAGACACUUGCCUCCACGUGGGCCCAGUGCGUGGCCUCGUCCAUGUCCCUGAGCACCUGCGGGACUGGCUGGCUGGGCUCCAGAGGAAAGCACGGGCUUGUGCUUACUUAGCUCCUCCCCGUCCCAUCCUGCUUCUCUCGCUCCCCUUCUCCUGAGUGCCCCCAAAACCCCAUAUGCAAGAAUCCUUGUCUCAGGCUCUACUGCUAGGAACCCUGAUCCAAGAAAGUUACCUUAGAGGGGAGAGCUCAUGGGUAUGGGAUUUCUGGAAUUUUCCUGAUAGCCUAAGAUCAUCAUGAAAAUGAGGGAUGGCAAAGUGUAAACACAGAGAGAAAUCCUUUAACUAAAGCACUAGGUAUAUUGAAAUAAACAUGCACUCUUUAGGUGUGUUGAAAUAAACAUGCAAUCUUUAUCGAAAAUUUAGUUUACAUUAGAGGUAACGGUGGAACCUCUAAGUAGAGACAUCUGCUUGCUCCUGGCUCCGCGCGGGCACUCAACGAAUAACUAUCGAACUAAUUUAGGUUGAAUUUCUAAAGAGGAGCCUAGAAUUAUUGUAGGAUACUUGGUUACAGGAGGGAUUAUGUUUUGGGGACACAAAGGAGCAAAGAGACAACUUCUAUGGAGAAGUCUGGUGUACCCGGGCCCAAGGGCUCACUCUGUCCUGACCCCUCUAGGAAGAGUGACGGCCAUCAGGACCAGGGGAAGGAGAUGAUGUGAGGGUUAAUCUUAGCGGGUAUGUCUAGAUUGCAGGCGCCAGCCCUGAGGGGCAUCCGGGGACAUUUGGAACUCCCUCUUCUGAACCACCAGCCACCUCCUACUGUGCUGGUAACGCAGAUGGACGAGGUGACUACCUGCUCUCAGCAGCCCUCCUGGGUUCAGCUACCCUGCCUUUCUCAGCGUUUAGGGGAACGAUAGCACGUGACAGUCUCCUUGGACCCACAGGGACAGGUCAGGCCUUCACUAACUUGGAGCCCUGUGUGCUGGGAUUUGCAGUUCAAAAAUGAUACACUCUGGUCUCUCCCUGCUUCUUUGUCCACACCCAGCCUUCCCUAUGGUUCUCCUCCCACCUGCCUUUCAGACCUGUGGUUAUUUUGUGUCCUAUCCCCUCACCACUGGGGAGUCAGGGAAAGCAUUGGCCGGGGGCUUCAUCCUGGAUUUUUCAGAGCAAGGAAUGGGAACCCAGCAGGGAGCUGAGUAGCUGGGCCAAAGAGUCCCAUCCUCACCCCAGCCCGGGACCCUCCCUGGACUUGGGGUGAGCUAUGGCCAGCAAGGGAGUAUGCCCACCUCCCAGCUGGAGGCCUCUCCUGGUUAAUUUUCCACGAGGGGCCCCAUGGGCGGGGAUUCAUCACCUGAGCAAAGGUGACACAGGUGAGGGAGGCGGGGCCUGGAAUGGGGAUGUGGCCUCCUGGCGUGGCCACUCCUUCACAGGUGUGGGGUUUUCCAGAGUGAGAUCUGGCCUUGCUAACUACAGCCUCCCGACCCUAAACCAGGGCGUGGCGGAGGCCCUGUGACACCAAACACUUUGGAAAGGCCCCGCCCACCUCCCAAGCCUGUCCGGGAUCCCCGGCUGCGUCCUUGUGCAGGGUGAGAGUUAGUUUCCUUGGUUGGGUGGGAUGGGAGGAGGUGUGUGACAAGUUGAGGGGUGGGAAAGGAGAGAGGAAGAAGACAAAGAAAGGAAACUAAGACAACUGUCACUGCGUGGGUGACGGCUGCAUGCCACAUGUGUUCUCAUGACCCCUCUCCUAGGACCCUCUCAACAACCUCGGGAGUCAGAAAUUGCCUCUCAGGCCUCAGUUUCUCCACUUGUAAAAUGUGCUUAAUAACCAGUUGAAGGUCUCAUCUGUCAUUUCAUGCAUCCUCCCCCACCCUGUGUGACAGACAGAGCCCCGAGAGGCGAACCUAGCACAAAUCGAGGUGUGCCUGACCUACCUGCUGAUUUGUAGCAUUGAGAAGUCCAGCAGGAGGAGGCCCUAGGCCAGAUGGGGGCUUUAAACAACUGGAUAAAAGAAUAAAAAUGCUGAAUACUUCCAUUUAGAGCUGGACUUGGCACACACUUUCUGUAGAAGGCCAGAUAGUAAGUAUUCUAGUCUCUAGGGGAGCUGCUCGCCUCUGCUGUUUUGUGUAAAAGCAGCCAUAGAUGUAAAUGGAUGGGUGUGGCUCUGUGCCAAUAAAACUCUGUUUGCAAAACCAGGUGGCCAGCCUGUGAGCCAUAGUUUGCUGACCUCUGAUUUAGAGAUACACAAUGUAGAUGGGUCAGGGCGUUCAAGGUAAGACAAGAAGCGAGAAGGAUUAGGGUUAGCAGGGCAUUGCAACAUUUAUCUCAGUCUGUGUAAAUGACACACCCCUGGAACUGUGCACAGACUGCACAACCAUAUACUGCUGUCCUGAGGGUAAGAUAAGAAGAAAACAAGCCUUACAGUCUAGACUGUCAUACCUGGGAAUGGCUAAGUGCUAAGGCCUAGACAAGACUCUUCGGUGGGAUGACCGAUUGUAAGAGGGUCUCAGAAAAGAAAGUGGAAGGGUCACUUUCCUGUCCAAAGGUAUCACACUCUGACAACUGAUAAGGUGGCCUGGUUUCCUAAACUGGUAAAGUGGUAGAAUGACCUUGGGAGUCUUGUUAAAACUUCUGCAGCCUAUUCUUCUGAAUUAAACUCUCUUGGGUGGGAGGCCAGGAAUCUGUAUUUGACAAGUUUGCUGGGUGACUUGGUUGUACAGCCUGGUUUGGGAACCCUGCCCUAGGAGACCUCCCAAGAUUUCUGCCGGCCCUAGGGCAGAGCCGGAGUGACUGCCGCAAACUGUGCCCACAUUUCCCCACUACUCCUGGCCUUGUUGCCUGACUGUGCAGUAGCCCAAAGAGGGAUACAGGGAGCCAAGGAUUAGGACACGGUUCCUGCCUUCAUAAGCCCCAGUGCAAUGGUUAAAUCAUGGCACCAGCUACAAUGCCCCUCCACAGCCACAUACCCAUUGCUAGAGAAACCUACCUUCGAAUGGCAUAAAUAUGGCAAAGCAGGACAGUGAUUAAGAGUUGUCCUACUAUCUUUUUUUUUUUAGAGGUGCUGGAGAAAAUCCAAUGGGGCCAUGUCAUACCAUUUUCAAGGGCAAUUGGUACAAGAAAUUGUUCAUUUCUACCUACACGUGUUUCAAAUUCCAUCAGCAAAGCCAUAAAGUGUAUAGAAAGAGAGAUCAGAAAAAAAUUAAAGCUUCAAUUUGAAGAAUAAGGAAAUAUGCUGAAAUAUAAACUCUGACAUGUAAAGAACUUGGAAGUUGUUACUCCCAUCCUUAAACGAGAACAAAACCAAAACACCCUGAAAAAUCAGUGGCUUUUCUUGGACCUAUCAGAGAACCGAGGUCACAGGGCAAACCACCACCCUGAAACCUGAAGAAACAGGCAACUCCGAAGAAUCCCAGGUGAAAAUCUUCUCACCUGGAGCAAAAGGCACUGGAGCUGUCAAAUGAUGGGAACACUUACAUGGUGAUUUUAAUGAAGUGCUGGAGGCUGAGUGUGGGCAAACAUGAGAGUGAGAAACUCCUGGGGCUGCAGUUUUGGGGGACACACUUCUGUGGGUUCUACCUCUAGGGACCUCACCAGGUUCUCAUGGUGAGGAGCCAAGAAAGAUCUCCUUGUGGCUCUGGCAUGGGGAGGGGAAAAGUCAUCACCAGAGCCUUACUUUACCUGGGGGUAGGAGUGUUUCUCCAACUCCAGCACACACUUGCACUCUGGACUCACUAAAAGACAGAUUUAGUGAGAAGAUUAUAGAAUGUGUUCCCUUCUCAACACCUUAUCACCACACCAACAGGGCUCCAGUAGCAUGAGAGUGGAUUACAGCUGAGAGAGCUGCAAGACAGAUGCUAUUUAAGAAGUAGUUCAUAGGGAAGCCAAAGGCAAUAGGUGAGGAAAAAACAAGGCCAUUGGAGGAAAAGUGAAGCCUCUGCCCGCUCUGGCUUGUUUGUGAAGUCCCAUCCCAAAGGUGAGAAGCCUGGCUCCAUCCAUGUACUUAAUUAUUCAGUUCCAGUGCAGAUCUACGGCAGUGUCAGUAUUGUCAGCCUGGUGUGGUCUGGACUGGAAGGGUCAAGGCUGGUCAGAUUCCCGUGCUUGAGAAUUUGAAAUGAGGAAUGGAGAAGAUGACACAGUUCAUGGAAGCUGAAGGUGAAAGAAGCCAAGGGGUGGGAUGGGGGCCAUAAAGGGUCAUACAGACCACUCAGGUUACAAGUGGAGUCCUUGUGGAGACUAGAGAUGUGAGAGGACAGGGAAGGUGACAGCCAGUCAUGCCCAGAGACCAGAGCAGACUCAGGGAGAGGCCGGGUCCUGCUGAUGGCAGAAUGCUGGGGUGAAGAGGAGGGUUCUUGCUGUUGAGGUGCAAGGCCUUGGAGGCCUUGGGGACUCGGCUGGGCUCUGGUCUUCCCUGGUCCCCAUGAGGUGCUAGUUACUAUGAUGGCUACUGUGCAUUCUUAUAAUACAGCCCCCCCCCCACACACACACACAUACACAUGUGAGUGGGGAAACUCAACCCAAGUUCUGAGCCUGUAAACCAGCCAGAGAGGUUUUGGUGAAAUAGGUGACAUGUCCAAUUUUGAAAAGACUGAUUUUGAGACGUUUUCAUACACAGGCACUCGGAAGACGGUUGGUCUGAAACUAAGCCGAGAGGCGUGGGCUGGACACCAAGACACCAGCAAGAGGGUGGCAGUUGACACGCAGCUGGAGGGAAGAUCCCGGCACGGUGAAUGGUGUGGAUGAAGGACAGCUGAGGCCCAGCAAGAGCCAUGGAGGGCAUUGGUGCUUAGGUGGCCAGCUUUGGAGAUGGUGAGAGCAAUGGAGGUGGAAAAGCUUAUUCAGAGAGAUAGGAGGAGAACCAGCAGACAGCAAAAUCUCAGAAACCACAGAAAAAGAGGAUUCUAAGAGCGGGGUACUCACGAUUGUCAAAUGGCAACACCAGCACACACGGAAAUAUAACCCAUGAUAAGGACAGCGCUACAAAUCAGUGUGGGAAUGAGAAGAUUAUCCAACAAAUGGUGCUAGGACACUGAUUAGCUAUUUGAGAAAAAAAGUCGAUUGAGAGCCUCCAUCUGCUGUUCUUUACCAAAGUACAUUCCAUCAGAUGAAUCAAAGAAUUAAAUGGUCACCUGUUUUCCCUUGG